CAAGGGUAUGGCUGUUCGCCAUUUAAAGUGGUACGCGAGCUGGGUUUAGAACGUCGUGAGACAGUUCGGUCCCUAUCUGCCGUGGGCGCUGGAGAAUUGAGGGGGGCUGCUCCUAGUACGAGAGGACCGGAGUGGACGCAUCACUGGUGUUCGGGUUGUCAUGCCAAUGGCACUGCCCGGUAGCUAAAUGCGGAAGAGAUAAGUGCUGAAAGCAUCUAAGCACGAAACUUGCCCCGAGAUGAGUUCUCCCUGAGACUUUAAGUCUCCUGAAGGAACGUUGAAGACGACGACGUUGAUAGGUCGGGUGUGUAAGCGCAGCGAUGCGUUGAGCUAACCGAUACUAAUGAACCGUGAGGCUUAACCUU
rnacentral:rRNA from 1 species